GCCCGCUUAGCUCAGUGGUAGAGCGCGUCACUUGUAAGACUGGUCAUGAUGAGGUCGGUUGUUCAAUCCAGCCAGUGGGCA